UCUCUCCCAUGAUGUCUAUUACUGGAUUCCAGUCAUCCUUGAGGACAUGUUCCCCAGGACCUUUGACACCUGAGAGUCUGAGGGGUUC